GGCGGCGUGCCUAAUACAUGCAAGUCGAGCGAAUGGAUUAAGAGCUUGCUCUUAUGAAGUUAGCGGCGGACGGGUGAGUAACACGUGGGUAACCUGCCCAUAAGACUGGGAUAACUCCGGGAAACCGGGGCUAAUACCGGAUAACAUUUUGAACCGCAUGGUUCGAAAUUGAAAGGCGGCUUCGGCUGUCACUUAUGGAUGGACCCGCGUCGCAUUAGCUAGUUGGUGAGGUAACGGCUCACCAAGGCAACGAUGCGUAGCCGACCUGAGAGGGUGAUCGGCCACACUGGGACUGAGACACGGCCCAGACUCCUACGGGAGGCAGCAGUAGGGAAUCUUCCGCAAUGGACGAAAGUCUGACGGAGCAACGCCGCGUGAGUGAUGAAGGCUUUCGGGUCGUAAAACUCUGUUGUUAGGGAAGAACAAGUGCUAGUUGAAUAANGCUGGCACCUUGACGGUACCUAACCAGAAAGCCACGGCUAACUACGUGCCAGCAGCCGCGGUAAUACGUAGGUGGCAAGCGUUAUCCGGAAUUAUUGGGCGUAAAGCGCGCGCAGGUGGUUUCUUAAGUCUGAUGUGAAAGCCCACGGCUCAACCGUGGAGGGUCAUUGGAAACUGGGAGACUUGAGUGCAGAAGAGGAAAGUGGAAUUCCAUGUGUAGCGGUGAAAUGCGUAGAGAUAUGGAGGAACACCAGUGGCGAAGGCGACUUUCUGG
rnacentral:rRNA from 1 species